rnacentral:rRNA from 1 species
GAUGAACGCUAGCGGCAGGCUUAACACAUGCAAGUCGAGGGGCAGCACAGAGGUAGCUUGCUACUUUGGGUGGCGACCGGCGCACGGGUGCGUAACAGGUGUGCAAUCUGUCCAUAAUCGGGGAAUAGCCCAGCGAAAGUUGGAUUAAUGCUCCAUGUGAGUAAGAGAGGCAUCUCUUUUAUUGAAACGUAAGGAUUANGGGUGAGCACGCUUCUGAUUAGGUAGUAGGCGGGGUAACGGCCCACCUAGCCGACGAUCAGUAGGGGUUCUGAGAGGAAGGUCCCCCACACUGGAACUGAGACACGGUCCAGACUCCUACGGGAGGCAGCAGUGAGGAAUAUUGGUCAAUGGGCGCGAGCCUGAACCAGCCAAGUAGCGUGCAGGAUGACGG